rfam:Listeria aquatica FSL S10-1188 c1, whole genome shotgun sequence.
UAUAAGUGAAUAUCCUUACCGUAGACAGCAGGUACACAAUUGUGUUUAAAUUUGCCCGCCGAGGAGAUUAACGAUAAAGACAGUUUUUGCUGUCUUCUUGACCCUUGCUGAUACGGUGGCAAGGGUCAUUUUUAUGUAGCUGA